AUUUUUGAGGAGAAAUUUGAACUGAUUGCAACCUCAAGUGCUGAACUUGUUUCAGUACCUAGUUCACUAAGUCGUGGACUAGAUCCUGAAAUGAAUUCAGGAUAUUUAAAAAAUGCUAAAGCAGUAAUU
rfam:Kordia algicida OT-1 1103813601120 genomic scaffold, whole genome shotgun sequence.